AUGACAGUACCCCCCCCCCCUAUGGCGCCUUCCACGGCGCCCACGGAAGCCCCCCCCCCCAAACCAGGGCGGGCGGAGGGUGGCCCCAGGAGGAGGGACCGAACCCCCACCCCACAAGGCACACGAGCAGGGUGGGUGGAGGGAGGACCGGAGGAGGGUCAAGGCAAGAGUCCAUAUAACAAAGUCCACGAACGGGGAAGAACACGAAGUCCAGGGAUUCCGUCACGGAGGGUGACGGCGUGGCGAGAUCCUGCUCAGCAGCCGCUGAGCCAGGGUGGCACUCUUAGUGCCCUUGAACUGGGCCGAUGUCCCCGGGGGCCACCCCGAAUGGCAACGUCCUCCAGGCGGACGCUGAUCCGAUGGGCUGAGGAGUCGAGGCGGGCGUCGCCGCAGGAGGCAGCGCCAUCCAGGCAGCAGGAGGCGCCGAGGGCGAGGCCACCAGUCCGGCAGCCGAGCCAAGGACGAGGCAGGAACCAGCGGCGUCCUCUUUGGACCACCGCGACGAGAGGCAGGAACCAGCGGCGUCCUCUUUGGACCACCGCGACGAGAGGCAGGAACCAGCGGCGUCCUCUUUGGACCACCGCGACGAGAGGCAGGAACCAGCGGCGUCCUCUUUGGACCACCGCGACGAGAGGCAGGAACCAGCGGCGUCCUCCUCGGACCACCGCGACGAGAGGCAGGAACCAGCGGCGUCCUCCUCGGGCCACCGCGACGAGAGGCAGGAACCAGCGGCGUCCUCCUCGGACCACCGCGACGAGAGGCAGGAACCAGCGGCGUCCUCCUCGGACCACCGCGACGAGAGGCAGGAACCAGCGGCGUCCUCCUUGGACCACCGCGACGAGAGGCAGGAACCAGCGGCGUCCUCCUUGGACCACCGCGACGAGAGGCAGGAACCAGCGGCGUCCUCCUUGGACCACCGCGACGAGACACAGGCGCAGGAGCGGCCGGAGCCGGGCCGCCAGGAACCGAUGCAGGAGCGGCCGGAGCCGGGUCGGCAGGAACUAUGACUGGCGCGACCCCCUCCUGGAGGUCCGCCGGGACUGCAGCUGGCGCGACCCCCUCCGGGAGGUGCGCGGGGACUGCAGCUGGCGCGACCCCCUCCGGGAGGUGCGCGGGGACUGCAGCUGGCGCGACCCCCUCCGGGAGGUGCGCGGGGACUGCAGCUGGCGCGACCCCCUCCGGGAGGUGCGCGGGGACUGCAGCUGGCGCGACCCCCUCCGGGAGGUGCGCGGGGACUGCAGCUGGCGCGACCUCCUCCGGGAGGUGCGCGGGGACUGCAGCUGGCGCGACCUCCUCCUGGAGGUGCGCGGGGACUGCAGCAGGCGCCGCCUCCUCCUGGAGGCCGGCGGGCGCUGCGGCUCCGCCUCCUCCUGGAGGCCGGCGGGCGCUGCGGCUCCGCCUCCUCCUGGAGGCCGGCGGGCGCUGCGGCUCCGCCUCCUCCUGGAGGCCGGCGGGCGCUGCGGCUCCGAGGGUGACAGGGACUGGAACGACCUCUCUCGGGCCGACAGGAACGAGGACUGGAACGACCGCCACAGGGCCGACAGGAACGGGAGUGGCCUCAACAUGGCCGACGGGAACGCCCUCAACUUGGCCGACAGGAACUGGGACAGGAACUGGGACGACCUCAACAUGGCCGACAGGAACUGGGACGGCAUCUACUUGGCCGACAGGGACAAGAACGGCAUCUACUUGGCCGACAGGGACAAGAACGGCAUCUACUUGGCCGACAGGGACAAGAACGGCAUCUACUUGGCCGACAGGGACUGGAACGACCCCUAA
rnacentral:lncRNA from 1 species